rnacentral:rRNA from 1 species
GUCCUACGGGGGGCAGCAGUGAGGAAUAUUGGUCAAUGGGCGGAAGCCUGAACCAGCCAAGUCGCGUGAGGGAAUAAGGCCCUUCGGGUCGUAAACCUCUUUUGCCGGGGAGCAAGGGCCGGGACGCGUCCCGGCCCGGAGAGGACCCGGAGAAAAAGCAUCGGCUAACUUCGUGCCAGCCGCCGCGGUAAUACGGAGGAUGCGAGCGUUAUCCGGGUUUAUUGGGUUUAAAGGGUGCGUAGGCGGGGUUUUAAGUCAGCGGUAAAAAUUCGGGGCCCAACCCCGUCCGGCCGUUGA